AACAGCCCAAGGGAUGCACCUCAAUGGCCCCCACCAGUGUCUGUAUCAGCAUGCCUGGACCAGCUCAGAAUAACGGCCCCCACAAAUGUCUCAGCCUCCAGAGAGGUCCCUCCUCUCACCAAGAUGCCCCCAGAGCCCACCAGUAAUUUAGAAAGACCCUCAGUAGAUCAUAAUACGAACUCCAUGAAAGCUUUUGAACACAUCACUUGGAAUAAUUUUCAGCAAUGUGUAGCAAUGUAUUUGAAAGGAUUUACGCCUAAGGCUACAAACGCUGAGCAAAGGAUCAUUAUGGGAAUUAUAUGAAGUUAUUAAGUGUAAAGAUCUCCGACAAGUGCCUGGAAUAGUAUCUGCGGCAUCACCAUUGGAAGAAGAGAAAUAAAUGAAAAGCAAACUAUAUUUAGUUCAUUUGUUAGUGUGGUGGUUUUUGUUUGCUUAAAAUAUGCCCAAACUCAUAGACAACUUUGUGCUGUUACUAUGAUAUAGUAUUCAACUGCUAACAACUCAUAUACACAUACACAGUCACACACAGACACGCACACACACGUUCAUCAUUCUUCUGAUUGAAUCUUAGGAAAAACCAGCCAAAAAUGUAAUAGCCUUAUUAUUUAGGACUAUCCUUGUCUCCAGUAAACAAGCCAUGGGCAUAGAGAGACAGAGCACAAUAAGAAGACCAAGUUUUGGACUGUGCGGUAUAUCUUUUGGUUGCUUAAAUCAUGCUUUGAAAU
rnacentral:lncRNA from 1 species